UACAGAGGUCCCAAGCGUUGUUCGGAUUCAUUGGGCGUAAAGGGUGCGUAGGCGGCGCGGUAAGUCGGGUGUGAAAUCUCGGGGCUUAACUCCGAAACUGCAUUCGAUACUGCCGUGCUUGAGGACUGGAGAGGAGACUGGAAUUUACGGUGUAGCGGUGAAAUGCGUAGAUAUCGUAAGGAAGACCAGUGGCGAAGGCGGGUCUCUGGGCAGUAACCUGACGCUGAGGAGCGAAAGCGUGGGGGAGCGAACAGG
rnacentral:rRNA from 1 species